rnacentral:rRNA from 1 species
CCUUUAAUCGCCCUUAGAGUUUGAUCCUGGCUCAGGAUGAACGCUAGCGACAGGCUUAACACAUGCAAGUCGAGGGGCAGCGGGGCGGCAGGCUUGCCUGCCGCCGCCGGCGACCGGCGCACGGGUGAGUAACACGUAUGCAACCUGCCCGUGGCAGGGGGAUAAGCGGGGGAAACCCCGUCUAAUACCGCGUAACGCGGCCUAGGGACAUCCCAAGGCCGCCAAAGGGAGCAAUCCCGGCCACGGAUGGGCAUGCGGCGCAUUAGCUAGUCGGCGGGGUAACGGCCCACCGAGGCGACGAUGCGUAGGGGUUCUGAGAGGAAGGCCCCCCACACUGGUACUGAGACACGGACCAGACUCCUACGGGAGGCAGCAGUGAGGAAUAUUGGUCAAUGGGCGCGAGCCUGAACCAGCCAAGUCGCGUGAGGGAGGACGGCCCUACGGGUUGUAAACCUCUUUUGCCGGGGAGCAACGGGCGCCACGUGUGGCGCCACUGAGAGUACCCGGAGAAAAAGCAUCGGCUAACUCCGUGCCAGCAGCCGCGGUAAUACGGAGGAUGCGAGCGUUAUCCGGAUUUAUUGGGUUUAAAGGGUGCGUAGGCGGAUCGUUAAGUCAGUGGUCAAAUUGAGGGGCUCAACCCCUUCCCGCCAUUGAAACUGGCGCUCUUGAGUGGAAGA